CAGCUCCGGAGGUGGCGGCGAUGCAGACCGAGUGAGCGGCGGUGGGGCCAGGCCGGGCGCCGGGCGGGAGCCGAGGCCGCGGCGGACUCCGCAAUCCCGCAGCCGGCGACUGGAGCCCACCUCUGCAGAGACAAAGGAACUGCUCUGGUGAACUCCCCCUGAAAGUAAAUGCCCUUGGCUGGCCUCCAGCAUUCCCCUCAUGGGCAUAGCCAUGCAGCCUUCAGAACCUUCCUGAAAGAGAUGCCCAAGGAUUCAGCAAACACAGGGGAAGCAGAGGACACAACAAGCUUGGAUGUGAAAUAGCACUUCCUUCUGUAUUACAGAAUAAAACAAUAUUUUAAAUUACACAAGCAGAUGGGGCAAGUUUUUGGGCCUUCAGAAGCCCAGAAGACUUCACACUGGUAUACUGGUAUAUACAUGUAGAAUUGAGCAAAGAACUUGUUUAAUUCCAAAAUUUUCUGAGAAAUAAUCUCAAUAGUCAAUUUGCCUCAUUAUCCUCUCCCCAUCUUACCCAAAUAAGAGCAGAGCUUUAUGACCCUCCCUUUCAACUUGGGGAAUGAGGGCCGCAAAGAGACUUUGCACUGAAAAGCAGCCAUAUUUGCAUUUUUCUCCCCUUGUGCAGAGGUAAGCGAUAUAUUGGGCUUUGUGGAACCUCACAAAAUGGCAUCCUUGAACUGACUUCUCUGAAAACCACUGAGACCCACAUUCUCUUUUGUGUGUUUCUGGUCAUUGCAAAUGGAGAGCCUAAAUCACUCAGAAGGCUUGGUUCUUUUAUUCAGUGUUAACAUUGGAGAGAACUAUUUUUCUCUAAACGGUUUACAGACCUCACUAGGCAGACUGGUGCAGUUCAGGGCUGAAAAGUGCUGCCUGGGAUGGCAAAGCAUUCUCUGAAGGUUUAUGCAAAUUUCUGCAGCAAAAAAGUGUUCGCUUGUUGCCUCAAUGCUUGGAUGUUGACACAUUUGAGCCAAUUAGAAGGGCAUCUUGUGCGCAAGUCACUGCCAGUCUGUCUGCAUGAAACACCAUGAUGGGGGGUGGGGAUAUCUAGUCAGUGUAAGAAAGAAGGUGGCGAGUGUGUGUGAUGUGUAAUUCCCCCAGGUCUUUCUUUGAACACAAAUCUAUGCUCUUUCCCAGCUACAAAAGGAAACAUUUACCUACAUGAAUAAUCAACACUCUGGGCGUGUGUGUAAGCUAUGUAUACAAGCAAAUUCAUAAUCUAAUAUAUACCAGCUAUUGCAACAGUCUUUGUCUGUACAUGAGGUAUGAAUUUACCAUGGUUUAGGCGGCCAGUGGGGCCAGAAGUUACACUUUGAGACCAGCACAGAAUGCUGAAGAAAUGACAAUUUUAUCUCCUCUUCCUUCCUUGAUUUCCGUACCCACCCAUACACAGGUCUCCCACCUGACAGUCUUGCCAACAUUAUUUCAGGGUUCUAAAAGUAUCUGGUGAGCAUCCUUGAGCAGGAGACAGCCAGUUUUGCUAAUAUAUAAAGAAGUCCUGAGUCCCUUAAAUCCAGGGCAGCUGGAUUUCAGCCAGCGCUAGUCUUUGGAUGGUUUACAAUGGAGGCUGUUCCCCAGCCUCUUGGCCCUUGGCAUCCUUACUCUGUACCAGCCAACAGCAGAGUCUUAAGCAGUGCACAGAGCAAAACAUUCUCAAAUCCAGCAUAGGCAUUUGCAGCUGUCUCUUGGAGUGCAAAUGUUUAAGUUCUGGGCCACCUGUGAUUUAAAAUUAUCUUUCCUGGCUCAGGUCAGAGAAUGUCACAGCCAUCACUUCUUCCCAGCAUGGAAAGCCAGGUGGUGCUUUCCUUCUGACCUGGCCAGUGGCAACAUUUCUGUGGUCCAUGAAGCCACAGGCAAACAGCCUGAUAAAACCCGACGAGGUGACCCUGGCGCAAAACUAUAGGAUUCCAUUUUCUUAUCUAUGUAAUAAAAGCAACUCUGGAAAUAAAAAUUUACCCCUUUGAAAAUAAACAUGGUUAGAGAAAGCAGAGAGCUCUUCGAUGACUACCUAACAAAGGUGCUUUCCCUUUUUCGGGAAUGUUACUUUACUUGAAUUUCUCUUUUCUCCCGCCCCUCUUCCCCCCACUUUCCCCUGUAAAAUGGCAGCUGCAGGAGCAGCCUCCAAUGGAAAAUGGAUAUCUUGUUAAUAACAGAUGCCAAACCCCAGCAUCAACGCCGGCUCAGUGCAAUAAGCUGUGGUGUAACAUGGACUCUGCGUUGUCCCCCACUGGGCCUACAACUUGAGUCCUUUAAGAGGAUCAAAGCUCUCAGAGCAUCUUAGCAAGAUUAUUUAGAGCAAGAUAGACUAGCCAGUCCUCUCUGAAAAAGAAGGGGCCCCUGCGGCCUUUUUUUUUUUUUUUUAAACAGCGCGGAAUGUGUGUAACCCCACCCCUUUCUUACUAAACAGAAGCCUUGAGCGAGUCCUUUCCUUCGUGCGAGCCCAGGCGAUUGUUAGUGAUUCAUGGAAAAGGGGUAUUUGCGGCGCUCAAAGACACUAGCUCCAGAAAGAGAUUCAUUUAUUUACUAAGGAGCUAGCGACAUUCCGGAGUUGUUUACACUCAGGUUUUUCUGCGUUUCCUCUCAGGGCUUGUUUCAAAUAGGUGAGGCUAUCGCUUUCCUGAAGAACAGCGGAGGACGUACCAACCGACGUCUGAGAUGCACACAGCAAGCUGGUUUAAAACCAGCGGCGAACAGAACAAAGGCAAUACAAAUAAAUAUGACACCUACUGAAAAUAACGGAACACAGCGGCAGCCACCGCAUAAAGAACUAGCGAUUUCAGGCGAUUACAAGGGCGGUUCAAAACGAAAGCAAGUUAAAAAAUGAGGCGCAUUUUACAAGGCGAUUUGCCAGAGUUGCCAGAUUAUUUAAUUUGUAUGGACUAUAGAAAAAUAAUUGUCAACGUGGACAUUGUCUUUAAA